UACGUAGGGUGCAAGCGUUGUCCGGAAUUAUUGGGCGUAAAGAGCUCGUAGGCGGUCUGUCGCGUCUGCUGUGAAAUCUCAGGGCUUAACCCUGAGCUUGCAGUGGGUACGGGCAGACUAGAGUGCGGUAGGGGAGACUGGAAUUCCUGGUGUAGCGGUGAAAUGCGCAGAUAUCAGGAGGAACACCGGUGGGCGAAGGCGGGUCUCUGGGCCGUAACUGACGCUGGAGGAGCGAAAGCAUCGGGGAGCGAACAGG
rnacentral:rRNA from 1 species